rnacentral:rRNA from 1 species
UACGUAGGGUGCGAGCGUUGUCCGGAAUUACUGGGCGUAAAGAGCUCGUAGGUGGUUUGUCGCGUUGUUCGUGAAAUCUCACGGCUUAACUGUGAGCGUGCGGGCGAUACGGGCAGACUAGAGUACUGCAGGGGAGACUGGAAUUCCUGGUGUAGCGGUGGAAUGCGCAGAUAUCAGGAGGAACACCGGUGGCGAAGGCGGGUCUCUGGGCAGUAACUGACGCUGAGGAGCGAAAGCGUGGGGAGCGAACAGGAUUAGAUACCCUGGUAGUCCACGCCGUAAACGGUGGGUACUAGGUGUGGGUUUCCUUCCUUGGGAUCCGUGCCGUAGCUAACGCAUUAAGUACCCCGCCUGGGGAGUACGGCCG